GGGCCCGUGGCCAAGUAUGGAAAAGGCACUGGCCUCCGGAGCCAGUAACCGUGGGUUCGAAUCCCACCGGGCCCG
rnacentral:tRNA from 1 species